rnacentral:rRNA from 1 species
AGCGAACGCUGGCGGCGUGCCUAACACAUGCAAGUCGAACGUGAAAGGGAGCAAUCCCAAGUAAAGUGGCGUACGGGUGAGUAACACGUAGGUAAUCUACCCCAGAAUCUGGAAAAACCGGCCGAAAGGCUGGCUAAUACUGGAUAGAGCGACGGAAUCCGUAAUUGGGUUUUUCGGGAAAGGGAGCCUGUAAAAAGGCCUUCGUUCUGGGAUGAGCCUGCGUCCCAUCAGCUAGUUGGUGAGGUAAAAGCUUACCAAGGCAAUGACGGGUAGCUGGUCUGAGAGGACGAUCAGCCACACUGGAACUGAAACACGGUCCAGACUCCUACGGGAGGCAGCAGUGGGGAAUCUUGCGCAAUGGACGAAAGUCUGACGCAGCAACGCCGCGUGAGUGAAGAAGGCCUUCGGGUUGUAAAGCUCUGUCGAGUGGGACGAAAAUGCUUGGAGUUCACAGCUCCAGGAACUGACGGUACCACUAAAGGAAGCACCGGCUAACUCCGUG